UAUAAAAAAUAACCUGCUGUUUGAAGGGAUCAUAAACUUGACGCCAGGUAACAUUUCACAGAAUACAGUUGGGGGAACUAAAAGAAAACAGACGUUAGUAGAAGAAGUUAAACGGAUUCACAGCAGUCACACUGUUUCAUAGGAGCUACGUUUGAAGUGGUUACUCCAGCGAUUUAGUACUGUAUUUCAGUAAGUUGGUGCAGGUGAGAGUGAGAUAUCCUGACUGUUAAGUCCCUUAUAUGGGUCAAAUUCCACAUGCCUUGGAUUCUUCACAUCCAAUAAUUCAGUUAGAGAGAGUCUC